rnacentral:rRNA from 1 species
UAGACCUCCUUGAAGGGUCGUUCGAGACCAGGACGUUGAUAGGUCAGGUGUGUAAGCGCAGUAAUGCGUUCAGCUAACUGAUACUAAUUGCCCGUAAGGCUUGAUCCUA